rnacentral:rRNA from 1 species
GUGGAUGACCUGCCCAUAAGAGUGGGAUAACUCCGAGAAACCGGGGCUAAUACGGGAUAACAUUUUGAACCGCAUGGUUCGAAAUUGAAAGGCGGCUUCGGCUGUCACUUAUGGAUGGACCCGCGUCGCAUUAGCUAGUUGGUGAGGUAACGGCUCACCAAGGCAACGAUGCGUAGCCGACCUGAGAGGGUGAUCGGCCACACUGGGACUGAGCCACGAUCAAACCUACUACGGGAGGCAGCAGUAGGGAAUCUUCCGCAAUGGACGAAAGUCUGACGGAGCAACGCCGCGUGAGUGAUGAAGGCUUUCGGGUCGUAAAACUCUGUUGUUAGGGAAGAACAAGUGCUAGUUGAAUAAGCUGGCACCUUGACGGUACCUAACCAGAAAGCCACGGCUAACUACGUGCCAGCAGCCGCGGUAAUACGUAGGUGGCAAGCGUUAUCCGGAAUUAUUGGGCGUAAAGCGCGCGCAGGUGGUUUCUUAAGUCUGAUGUGAAAGCCCACGGCUCAACCGUGGAGGGUCAUUGGAAACUGGGGAGACUUGAGUGCAGAAGAGGAAAGUGGAAUUCCAUGUGUAGCGGUGAAAUGCGUAGAGAUAUGGAGGAACACCAGUGGCGAAGGCGACUUUCUGGUCUGUAACUGACACUGAGG